UUUUGUAUAUUUCAAAAAGCAAAGCUAUAAAACUCUUUUUUGAGGUACUAGGAAACCAUUUUAUAUUAUCUGUUUAUUUCUUCUCCAGAGCUGAUGUUCUACUCUGAUGUGGAAGAAUAUCCUGAUAAAGAUCAAGGAAUCAAAGUCUCCUCAUAAUGCCAAAUCAUCUUUAAAGGAAUAAUGACCCAGUAUUUUUCCCAUUUUUGUUUUUAAAUGUAUUUUUAUAAGACUUGUGUAUGUAAAUAAUUUGUAACUGAUUUUUGAUUAUAUAAUACUGAAAAGUUUCUCAAUAUUAUGGAAAAUGUUAACAUUGUAUCUGCUAUUUAUACUCAAACAUUAAUUUUUACAACAUUAUCGUCUUAGUAACAGGAGAUAAUGAGCUAGAAACUAGGAGGUGAGAGUGUGUAUUUUCUUUUCUCUCAAAUUAGUUCUAUUUAUAAUCAUUAUCUUAAGAAGCACUAAUUCAGAAAAAGCCAUAACUUUAGUGUUAUAAAAUAUAUAUCAGGUUUAAACAUAAAUUUAGGGAAUAAGUAGAAGGGAGAAAAGGCCUUUAUUAUUUAUUUUUGAGGUCUACUUUCUGAAUAAAUGGAAAUAUGAAAUUUGUCUUUUCUGAAACUGGCUUAGUGAUUGUGUAUCACAGAAUAAUUGUAAUGUAAUUAGGUUGAAAGAUGCUUUACUUCAUGGCUAAUAAAAAGGAUAUGUAGUUUUUUGUUUGAAAA